AACGAACGCUGGCGGCAUGCUUUACACAUGCAAGUCGAACGGUAACAGGCCGCAAGGUGCUGACGAGUGGCGAACGGGUGAGUAAUGCAUCGGAACGUGCCCAGUCGUGGGGGAUAACGCAGCGAAAGCUGCGCUAAUACCGCAUACGAUCUAUGGAUGAAAGCGGGGGACCGUAAGGCCUCGCGCGAUUGGAGCGGCCGAUGUCAGAUUAGGUAGUUGGUGGGGUAAAGGCUCACCAAGCCAACGAUCUGUAGCUGGUCUGAGAGGACGACCAGCCACACUGGGACUGAGACACGGCCCAGACUCCUACGGGAGGCAGCAGUGGGGAAUUUUGGACAAUGGGCGCAAGCCUGAUCCAGCAAUGCCGCGUGCAGGAAGAAGGCCUUCGGGUUGUAAACUGCUUUUGUACGGAACGAAACGGCUCUGGUUAAUACCUGGGGCUAAUGACGGUACCGUAAGAAUAAGCACCGGCUAACUACGUGCCAGCCGCCGCGGUAAAAC
rnacentral:rRNA from 1 species